UACGUAGGGGGCAAGCGUUGUCCGGAAUCAUUGGGCGUAAAGCGCGCGUAGGCGGCCCUGUAAGUCCGUUGUGAAAGUCAAAGGCUCAACCUUUGAAAGCCGAUGGAUACUGCAGGGCUAGAGUCCGGAAGAGGCGAGUGGAAUUCCUGGUGUAGCGGUGGAAUGCGCAGAUAUCAGGAGGAACGCCAAUAGCGAAGGCAGCUCGCUGGGACGGUACUGACGCUAAGGCGCGAAAGCGUGGGGAGCGAACAGG
rnacentral:rRNA from 1 species